UCCAAUGAUGAUCUGUUGUGCUUCGGCACGCUGGAAAUUACCGACCAAGGCUUCGGCCAGUGCCGAUAAAAAAGGCUGAUUCUGAUC
rnacentral:snoRNA from 1 species